rnacentral:rRNA from 1 species
GACGAACGCUGGCGGCGUGCUUAACACAUGCAAGUCGAACGAAGUGGCGAACGGGUGAGUAACGCGUAAUCAACCUGCCCUUCAGAGGGGGACAACAGUUGGAAACGACUGCUAAUACCGCAUACUGAAGGAGGUGCUUGCGUCUGAUUAGCUAGUUGGCGGGGUAACGGCCCACCAAGGCGAUGAUCCGUAGCCGGUCUGAGAGGAGGAACGGCGACAAUGGGAAUGAGACACGGGCCAGACUCCUACGGGAGGAAGCAGGGGGGAAUCUUCCGCAAUGGACGAAAGUCUGACGGAGCAACGACGCGUGAGUGAUGAGGGCCUGCGGGUUGUAAAGCUCUGUUAAUCGGGACGCGGUACCGGAAUAGAAAGCCACGGCUAACGACGUGACAGGCGCAGCGGUAAUUC